rnacentral:snRNA from 1 species
GUGCUCACUUUGGCAGCACAUAUACUAAAACUGGAACAAUACAGAGAAGAUAAGCAUGACCCCUGCACAAGGAUGACAUGCAAAUUUGUGAAGCAUUCCAUAUUUUU